CAGUAGCCGCGGUAAUACGAAGGGGGCUAGCGUUGCUCGGAAUGACUGGGCGUAAAGCGCGCGCAGGUGGUUUAAUAAGUCUGAUGUGAAAGCCCACGGCUCAACCGUGGAGGGUCAUUGGAAACUGUUAAACUUGAGUGCAGGAGAGAAAAGUGGAAUUCCUAGUGUAGCGGUGAAAUGCGUAGAGAUUAGGAGGAACACCAGUGGCGAAGGCGGCUUUUUGGCCUGUAACUGACACUGAGGCGCGAAAGCGUGGGGAGCAAAUGGGAUUAGAUACCCCCGUAGUCCCUGUCUCUUAUAC
rnacentral:rRNA from 1 species